rnacentral:rRNA from 1 species
CCCUUAGAUGUCCUGGGCCGCACGCGCGUUACACUGAUGCAUUCAACGAGCUUAUAACCUUGGCCAAGAGGCCUGGGCAAUCUUGUUAACGUGCAUCGUGAUAGGGAUAGAUUAUUGAAAUUAUUAAUCUUGAACGAGGAAUUCCUAGUAAACGCAGAUCAUCAAUCUGCAUUGAUUACGUCCCUGCCCUUUGUACACACCGCCCGUCGCACCUACCGAUUGGAUGGUCCGGUGAAGCCUCGGGAUUGUGGUUCUUGCCGCUUUAUUGUGGCGUGACCGCGAGAACUUGUCUAAACCUUAUCAUCUAGAGGAAGGUGAAGUCGUAACA